rnacentral:rRNA from 1 species
GACGGUUGUCCCGGUUUAAGCGUGUAGGUGUGUGUUCCAGGUAAAUCCGGUUCACUUUAACACUGAGGCGUGACGACGAGGCACUACGGUGCUGAAGCAACAAAUGCCCUGCUUCCAGGAAAAGCCUCUAAGCAUCAGGUAACAUCAAAUCGUACCCCAAACCGACACAGGUGGUCAGGUAGAGAAUACCAAGGCGCUUGAGAGAACUCGGGUGAAGGAACUAGGCAAAAUGGUGCCGUAACUUCGGGAGAAGGCACGCUGACACGUAGGUGAAGUGAUUUACUCAUGGAGCUGAAGUCAGUCGAAGAUACCAGCUGGCUGCAACUGUUUAUUAAAAACACAGCACUGUGCAAACACGAAAGUGGACGUAUACGGUGUGACGCCUGCCCGGUGCCGGAAGGUUAAUUGAUGGGGUCAGCGCAAGCGAAGCUCCUGAUCGAAGCCCCGGUAAACGGCGGCCGUAACUAUAACGGUCCUAAGGUAGCGAAAUUCCUUGUCGGGUAAGUUCCGACCUGCACGAAUGGCGUAAUGAUGGCCAGGCUGUCUCCACCCGAGACUCAGUGAAAUUGAACUCGCUGUGAAGAUGCAGUGUACCCGCGGCAAGACGGAAAGACCCCGUGAACCUUUACUAUAGCUUGACACUGAACAUUGAGCCUUGAUGUGUAGGAUAGGUGGGAGGCUUUGAAGUGUGGACGCCAGUCUGCAUGGAGCCGACCUUGAAAUACCACCCUUUAAUGUUUGAUGUUCUAACGUGGACCCGUAAUCCGGGUUGCGGACAGUGUCUGGUGGGUAGUUUGACUGGGGCGGUCUCCUCCUAAAGAGUAACGGAGGAGCACGAAGGUUGGCUAAUCCUGGUCGGACAUCAGGAGGUUAGUGCAAUGGCAUAAGCCAGCUUGACUGCGAGCGUGACGGCGCGAGCAGGUGCGAAAGCAGGUCAUAGUGAUCCGGUGGUUCUGAAUGGAAGGGCCAUCGCUCAACGGAUAAAAGGUACUCCGGGGAUAACAGGCUGAUACCGCCCAAGAGUUCAUAUCGACGGCGGUGUUUGGCACCUCGAUGUCGGCUCAUCACAUCCUGGGGCUGAAGUAGGUCCCAAGGGUAUGGCUGUUCGCCAUUUAAAGUGGUACGCGAGCUGGGUUUAGAACGUCGUGAGACAGUUCGGUCCCUAUCUGCCGUGGGCGCUGGAGAACUGAGGGGGGCUGCUCCUAGUACGAGAGGACCGGAGUGGACGCAUCACUGGUGUUCGGGUUGUCAUGCCAAUGGCACUGCCCGGUAGCUAAAUGCGGAAGAGAUAAGUGCUGAAAGCAUCUAAGCACGAAACUUGCCCCGAGA